CUGAUUAGCUUGUUGGCGGGGUAACGGCCCACCAAGGCGACGAUCAGUAGGGGUUCUGAGAGGAAGGUCCCCCACAUUGGAACUGAGACACGGUCCAAACUCCUACGGGAGGCAGCAGUGAGGAAUAUUGGUCAAUGGACGAGAGUCUGAACCAGCCAAGUAGCGUGCAGGAUGACGGCCCUAUGGGUUGUAAACUGCUUUUAUAAGGGAAUAAAGUUAGUCUCGUGAGACUUUUUGCAUGUACCUUAUGAAUAAGGACCGGCUAAUUCCGUGCCAGCAGCCGCGGUAAUACGGAAGGUCCGGGCGUUAUCCGGAUUUAUUGGGUUUAAAGGGAGCGUAGGCCGGAGAUUAAGCGUGUUGUGAAAUGUAGACGCUCAACGUCUGCACUGCAGCGCGAACUGGUUUCCUUGAGUACGCACAAAGUGGGCGGAAUUCGUGGUGUAGCGGUGAAAUGCUUAGAUAUCACGAAGAACUCCGAUUGCGAAGGCAGCUCACUGGAGUGUAA
rnacentral:rRNA from 1 species